rnacentral:rRNA from 1 species
GGAGGAUUCAAGCGUUAUCCGGAUUUAUUGGGUUUAAAGGGUGCGUAGGCGGUUUGAUAAGUUAGAGGUGAAAUUUCGGGGCUCAACCCUGAACGUGCCUCUAAUACUGUUGAGCUAGAGAGUAGUUGCGGUAGGCGGAAUGUAUGGUGUAGCGGUGAAAUGCUUAGAGAUCAUACAGAACACCGAUUGCGAAGGCAGCUUACCAAACUAUAUCUGACGUUGAGGCACGAAAGCGUGGGGAGCAAACAGGAUUAGAUACCCUGGUAGUCCACGCAGUAAACGAUGAUAACUCGUUGUCGGCGAUACACAGUCGGUGACUAAGCGAAAGCGAUAAGUUAUCCACCUGGGGAGUACGUUCGCAAGAAUG